rnacentral:rRNA from 1 species
AUUGAACGCUGACGGCAGGCCUAACACAUGCAAGUCGAACGCGUGGCGGACGGGUGAGUAAUGUCUGGGAAACUGCCUGAUGGAGGGGGAUAACUACUGGAAACGGUAGCUAAUCCCGCAUACCAUCAGAUGUGCCCAGAUGGGAUUAGCUUGUUGGUGGGGUAACGGCUCACCAAGGCGACGAUCCCUAGCUGGUCUGAGAGGAUGACCGGCCACACUGGAAAUGAAAAACGGUCCAGACGCCUACGGGGGGAGGCAGGUGUAAAUAUCGGAGAAUGGGCGCAAGCCUCAGGCAGUCAUGUUGCGUGAAUGAAGAGGGACCUAGGGAUGUAAGGUACUGCCAGUGGGGAGGGGUUAUAGGAAGAAGAAGCACCGGCGAACUCCGUGCCAGCCGCCGCGGUAAUAC